rnacentral:lncRNA from 1 species
AUCAGAGGAAAAAUUGUCAGGUGGGUACUUUCUCACUUGCUGCAGGUAUAAGGAACAGGAAACGAGCCAAAGCACUCUGUGAAGCAAAACAUUACUUAUGAUGUCAUUCAUUCACACUGUCGUCUCUUCUCUUAGAAGCUGUUACUGAAGAUGAUCAGGGUAGACUGCAGUACAUCUCACCCAUCAAUGGGCAUUUCCUAUCAGGAGCAUCUUUAUUUUUUACCUGAAGCCUCUUGCCCCUCCAAACAGCUGGAGUCAGAUAAGGCCUGGCAAUAGCUGCAGGGAACCUCUCCUCUGGCAACUGAAGAUUUCAAGUAUCUGGGCCUGUCAUGAUGCUCACCAUCUAUGAGGCAGCCCCCAGCUGACACACAAGGCCAGUCAUUGAGUCCCCUUCUCUCAGGCUUUGGAAUUACAUGUCUAGGUAGGAACUGAGAUAAGAAACAUGU